GCACUCAUCACUUGCUGCCUUGGACUUAGUUUCCUCAUUCGUAGAAUGGAGACACCACACUUUCUGAAGUGCUUAUGAGACUUGCAGGAGGUAGACUUUUCUGGAAGACCCAGACCUCGAGUUGGAAUGGGGAGAACACUUAAACACUUGAUGUGCAGACAUCCUGAGCUUCAGCUGAUCUUACAAGCACAAAGGGGAAAACUUCCUGCCCUCCUUCCUGAGAUCAGAGAGACGAGUUUUCAGGAAUCCCUCCCCAGGGUUUGCCUGUGUACUCUGUGCAUGGUGGAAGUGGAGAAGAGUGAUCCAGCUUCCUUCAGUGGGACCCUCCUCACCCAUCCUGAUGGGUAGAUACAAGAUGCCGCCAUAGGGGCUGCCCUCGGACAGAGCCAAGGAGAACAUUGACUCAUUCGUCGUGUGCAGACCUUUGCGGAAGAUGCCGAUGUGCUCAAGGCAUGCUCCCUCAUGUGAGGGGUGACAUCACUGCCUAAUUUACACUCAUGCCAGGCCUAAAUGACCUCAUCACAGAAAGGCGAUUGUCUUGGCUCCUACUACAUGGCACAAUUCUUUUCCUGAACAUUCCUGAUCAUACUCUGUGCACUCCCUCAUCCCUGCCUUUGUUAUUUCCCCCUACCCCUGGAACACAGUUUGACAAACAUCAAUUCCAUUUUCUUGUGAAGGCAAGUUAAUUUUCAGACUCUCAGUGUCUUCAUCUCUAAAACGAAGGGUUAUCUGUGCUACUGCUGCUGCUGCUGCUGCUGCUGCUGCUGCUGCUGCUGCUGCUGCUGCUGUUUUCCUCAUGGGUGUCUGGAGGGGAGCUGAAAUGAAAGGGUGGAGGUAUCUGGAUCCCAGGGCUGCUUCCUUUUAUCUGCCCUACAUAUUGCUAAAAUCGCUUUUGAAAAAUAGGCCCCACUGCUUUUAAAUUACUGAACUAGAUAGUAUCGCAGGCUUCUUUGGCUAUAAAAUUCUGUGAUUCUAGCAUUCCCGGGAGUGAGGAUUCAAACUGACCUGCAAGGAUAAUCCUAAGGCAUUCAGCCUUCAAAGCCCUCAGCGCUGCCUCCCUAACCCUUAUGGGAACUUCCAUGGGACAUCCAGGGUCAUCUGACAUCUGAUUUCAUUCUAGCUUGCAGCCUUAUCUUUUCAAAUGGCUUGACAAUGUAGUCAAACUAGACCCUCUCUAAAUUUCAAACCAACUGAUACUUUCUGCUCUAGGUCUUUGUUGAUACUAUACUCUGCUCAAAAUCAUAUGCAUCCUACAAGAUUCAUCUCAAAAACUAAAUAUUAUAUCUACCACACUUACCGUAUUUUGCUAUGUGGUAUUCUUGUUUGUUUGUUUUCUGAGUGAACAAUUCAGGAGCUGUGAGUACAUUCACAGCCUUAUGCAACCAUCACCACUACCUAAUUCCGGAACAUUUUCAUCACCCCACAAAGAAAUCCUGGGCCCAUUAGUAAUCACUUCCCAUUCUCCCCUGUACCCCGCCUCUGGCCACCACUAAUCUACUUUCUGUCUCUGUGAAUUUGUCUAUUUUGGACAUUUCAUAUAAAUGGAAUUAUACAAUGUGUGACCAUGUGUAAGGAUUUUCUCACUUAUCAUGAUGUAAACUUUGAAAAAGUUUCAUCCAUGUUGUUGCAUGGAUAAAUGCUUUACUUUUAAAAUUGAUACUAUUUUAUUGUAUGAAUAGACCAUAUUUUAUUUGUUCAUUUAUCAAAUAUUUGGGUUAUUUUUAAUUUCUGGCUAUUGUGAAUAAUGCUGCUAUGAAUAUCCAUUCUGUGAACAUAUAUUUUCGAUUCUCUUGGGUACCUAAGAGUGGAAUUGCUGGGUUAUGUGGUACCCAUGUUUAAGUUUUUGAGGAACUGUCAAACUCUUUUCCACAGUUGCUGAACCAUUUUACAUCCCCACUAGGAAUGUAAGAGAGUUCUGAUUUUCGUACAUCCCUGACAACACUUUUUAUUUUCCAUCUUUUGAAUUAUAGUCAUCAUAGUGGGUGCCAAGUGGUAACACAUUGUGAUUUGGUUUGCAUUUCCCUAAUGACUACUGAUGAGCAUCUCUUCACAUACUUAUAGGCUAGUUGCAUAUCUUCUUUGGAGAAAUGUCUGUUCAUAUCUUUUGGCCAUUUUAAAUUGGGUUAUUUGUAUUUUUAUUGUUGAGCCAUAAGGUUCUUUACAUAUUCUCUGUGAAAGAAACUUAUCAGGCUUAUCAUGUACAGAUAUGUUCUCCCAUUGUCUGGUUCAUAUUUUCACUUGCUUCAUAAAGUUAUCUGAUACAUAAAAGUGUUUAAUUUUUAUGAAGUCUAACUGAUCCUUUCUUUUGUUGCCUGUGCUUUGGUGUUAUAUCUAAGAAACCAUUGCCUAACCUAAGUUCAUGAAGAUUUAAGCUUAUAAGAUUUCUUCUAAGAGUUUCAUAAUUUAUGUCUUACAUUUAUGUGUUUGACUUCAGUUAAAUUUUUUAAUAUCAUACAGAGAUCCAACUUUAUUAUCCAGAAUGUGGACAUACGGUUGUCGCAGCACCAUUUAUUGAAAAGACUGUUCCACAUUGAAUAUUCUUGGCACCCUUGUUCAUAAUCAAUUAAUUACAAAUGUAAGUGUUUAUCUUUGGGCUGAAUUCUUUUCCAUUGAUUUAUAUGUCUAUCCUUAUGCCAAUACCUCAACUGUCUUAUUUACUAUACUUC
rnacentral:lncRNA from 1 species